UCACGAUUACAUGUUACCCACACAUGGCGAUAAAUGUAAAGUUAUGUACACCGAUACGGAUAGUUUAAUUUACCACAUCGAGUGCAAGAAUAUUUAUGAUACUAUAAAACGCGAUAUUAAUCGAUUUGAUACCAGCGAUUAUCCGGUAGGGAACGUUUACGAUAUACUGCUUGUAAAUAAAAAAGUCCCCGGUUUGAUGAAAGACGAAAACAAUGGAGCAAUAAUGACAGAAUUUGUUGGACUCAGAGUGAAAAUGUAUGCAUUGCGUGUAGAUGGUAAAAAAGAUACGAAAAACGCGAAAGGUGUAAAAAGUAACGUUGUUUCCAGGAUGAUAACUUUCGACGACUACACGCAGUGCCUACGAAACGAAAUUGAAAUGAUUCUUAAUCAGACAUGUAUAAGAUCAAAAUUACACAAAGUAUACACAAUGGCGGAAUCAAAAUUCGCUCUGAGUCCGUGCGACGUUAAGCGGUAUAUCGUACCCGACUCAACGGAUACAUUGCCGCGGGGUCAUUAUAAAAUACCGCUUUAGAUAUAUCAGUAUAUGUAUUUUGUAAAUCAUUUUAACCUCGAUUUUAAUAGAUGUAUAUAUUUAGUUCUUAUCUGUGACUCUUUCUUGGGAUCUUCGUCUUCAAUUAAAGAGCUAAAGCUCACCUUAACUGUAUUCGCUAACGGGAAAGAGCAAUUCGGGAUUGCAAUGAUUGUUUUCAAGGUUCAGCAUAUAAAUAUGUA